UGGGGAAUAUUGCGCAAUGGACGAAGUCUGACCCAGCAACGCCGCGUGGAGGACGACGCCCUUCGGGGUGUAAACUCCUUUUGCAGGGGAAGAUGAUGACGGUACCCUGCGAAUAAGCUCCGGCUAACUCCGUGCCAGCAGCCGCGGUAAUA
rnacentral:rRNA from 1 species